GAAGAAUCUUAUUUUUGUUUUUGAAAGAAAAUAAAGGAGAAGGAAAUGAAACCAAUCCAAAUUAUGUGACAAAGGAAUUUUUGUAUUGUUUGAAGCCACGCAUAUAUAUUUCAUCGGACAAAUCAUAGGAAUCUCAAUUGGGUGGUUGUGUUAGGUGAGCAUUUAAAAGUUAAUGAUUUUUUCCAAACAAAUUGAAGUUUAGUAAUUAGAAUGAAUUAGCGACGUGAGUAAAAAUUACCCACAUUCAGUAGCAUACAUUUAGUUGCAUUGAUCUUAUCUGGAUUCUGCAGACAAAUCUUAAGCAGAAAAUUAAUUACCAUGAAUGGAAUUUCAGGUGCACCGUUCAAAAAAUUUGCAUCCAUGCGGGAUGAGUGGGCACUCAAGAGUCGAUACAUUAGUCCUGGUCCCAUCCAAUUUAUGGGGCCAGGAUGCGAUGCCGUUAGUCACACCUUAUUGUCGGAAUUGGGCGCUGACGCUUAGGUGUGCAUGGGAUUGUGGGUAGGUGGAAAUUCACGCUCUACCGGUGCAUAUCUGAUUCUUGUUGCUCCUUUCAUAUCCUCCAUUUCCCUGUUAUUGUUGCUGUUUUCUGAGUGUAUGAUUCUGCAAUUCACGGUAGUUUAGCUUUACAAUUUACACCCCAUUAGCUGGACUUCUUUAUUGAAGUUUCUAAUACAAGUCUUCUUUUGUGUCA